AAUACUAAUAGCUCUAAGGGUUUAAGAGGUCUAGAAAAAGGUGAUCAAGUCCAGUAGAUGGUUCAGAAAGGUUUAGACUUAGGUAUGGAGGAAGAUCUGAUCGAUUGGUAGCUGGUUGAGUUCUAGGGGCUAGAAUUCUUGAAGCAAGGUGAAGAAGGAGCGCUGUCCUUGGUUCAAUUUUUGUGUGGAUAAUCAUUGGAGGGCGGUCACUUGGAUACCUCAUGAAAAUUGGAUUA
rnacentral:lncRNA from 1 species